rnacentral:rRNA from 1 species
GAUGAACGCUGGCGGCGUGCUUAACACAUGCAAGUCGAACGGUGAAGGCGGAGCUUGCUCUGCUGGAUCAGUGGCGAACGGGUGAGUAACACGUGGGCAAUCUGCCUCUGGCUCGGGGUUACGCGCUGGAAACGGCGUCUAUAACUGGAUACGAGCUGCGAAGGCAUCUUCAGCAGCUGGAAAGUACUUCGGUCAGGGAUGAGCUUGGGGCCUAUCAGCUUGUUGGUGAGGUAACGGCUCACGAAGGCUUAGACGGGUAGCCGGCCUGAGGGGGUGACCAGCCCCCAUGCGACUGAGAGACGGAGCAGUGUCCAACGGUGGGCAAUGGUGGGGAACAUUGCACAGUGAGCCAGAGCGUGAUGAAGCAACGCCGCGGGAGGGAAGACGGCCUUCGGGUUAAAAAACUCUUUUCGCAAGGAAGGAGCGAAAGUGACGGUACCUGAAGAAAAAGCGCCGGCUAACUACGUG